rnacentral:rRNA from 1 species
GACGAACGCUGGCGGCGUGCUUAACACAUGCAAGUCGAGGGCACUAUUGGGGCAACCUGGUAGUGACCGGCGAACGGGUGCGUAACACGUGAGCGACCUUGCCUCGUGGUGGGGGAUAGCCGGCCCAACGGCCGGGUAAUACCGCAUAUGGUGCUGUCUUCGCAUGGAGACGGUAGCAAAGCUGUGUCGCAAGACAUGGCGCCACAGGGGGC